CCUUGGAGCCUGCAGAAAAACCAGAAUCACAGAGAAACUGUGCCUUAACAGAUCUGAGGACGGGACGGUGGUGGUGGGGGGGAGCCCCUUUUCAUCUCAGUGUCACUGCUUUUCACCUCCACUGGUGACUGGUGCUUCCACUGCACGCCGGGAUGCCAGACAUGGCAGAAUGCCAAGGGGCCCUGUGCCCUGGCAACUACUGCUUCUUACAGACUCCUCCUGAAACAUAGUCAUGAAUGUACAGACACACCUCCACAAAGUUCUGCUCUGAGCCUCCAAGCGCAGCAGCUCUGGCCAAACUGAAAUCAGACAGAGCUCUGAUGGAUAUAGACUGGGAGAGAGGAGAGAGUUCCUUGAUGUCGGAAAUAAAUCUGACAGGCCCCACCGGAUGAGGCCCAGCCUAAUCUUUUUCACUGACUUCACGCCGAAGGGAAAGACAGUAGAAGUGAACGGACUGUCAACAUGUGUCUGCAGCACGACGGGUUUGUCUCUGGUGUCCAGGGGUCAGUCUCCCAGGGGACCACUCCAAAGAACUCCAGCAACCCUCCAUCCUCUGCCUGACAUGCUUUUGCAAGAAGGUCAAAAAGGUUGUCUGAAUCAGCAGCGUGUCAAUAUCUACGUUUCUCACAAGCAAACAAGAUCAAGUAGCAAACUUAAGGGCAAUUUCCUUUUUCACAUGCAAACGGUGAAAAAGUUUUUCGCCAAAACUGUUUAAGGUAUUUUUAUAGAAUUGUUUUUUUUGUUUCUUUAAGCACAAGGAGACAAUAUGUAGAGAGGUAUUCUUGUAUUACUGAAAUCUCUGAUUUUUUUUUUUUUACUUUCUAACAAAGAGAGUUUAUACCCAUACAUAUAGGCUCACUGAUGCACAGUAAUAUAUCAAUCUAAAUAAAAUAAAUAUAAUUCCAGUAACCAACUGUUUGAAAAAAUAUCUGUAAUUCAGAGCAUGAAUCACUAUUUUAUCGUCCUUAUUCCAAACACUUUCACAAUUCCCAAAGACACGGAUAUUUAUGUUGUCUUAAUUAGAAACAUUGGCUGACCUUAUCGCCAUAUGAUGAUGGCUUGGGGGUGGAAUUGCUAUAUGAAUGCAGGCUGAAUCAUUUCCCUAAUAAAAUCUAACAUUGAAAAUUAGCUCCACUGAAGCGGACGCACGCAGAGCAGGAAAGCUGGUUGUCUCACACGUGUGGGUAGAACAAUGCAGAAUAAUGAAUUUGGUAUAUUAUUUAUUUCAUCAUUUAUUUCAGAUGUAGCUCAAAGAAGAAACAGGCAACAUCAUGUGCAGCGCCUUUAUUCCAGCUCAAGUCCCACAUUCACUCAAGUGCCAAAAAUCCUCCUAAUGAACGGUCAUUGAGACUGCUGCAUGAAUGGCAAUAACAUAUCCAUAUCAAAGAUCUCAUCUACACUCAUCCUUCCUCCGGCUCAAUGUGAGGCCUGUUCUCCGGCCACAUUAUUACUCUCAUCAUUUUAACAUGAAAGGGAGGAAACAAGUGCUGCAACACUACCAAGGAGACACCUUGAUCCCAGAGCAUUUGCAUUCGCCAGCUUGUUCAACCUGAUGUAUGAACGAGUUAGCAUUGGGCUCUGUGAUUGGUCGGCACUGAAAAGCAGAAGCAGAUACUCAGCUGCUGCUGCACAUGUUGUGUGUGCCCCCCAUCCCCAUCCUUAAUGUGCCACGCUCAGGCAGUGGCACUAGAGGGCAGUCCAUCCUGUUGCUUUUUGUUGUGAAGGAGGCAUCUGUUUUAGUGGGACAUUCAGGGAAAUAUUUUUUGAUUAUUUUUUAUUGUUGUGGAAUCCAUGAAAAAAAUAUUCAGGCAUUUUUGGAAUUCAAUAUUCUGUCAUUUAAAUUUGUGCCUGAAUGCUGUUUAUAAAAGGGACAACUUAUGAGUUGUCUUGUAAAUAGAGCAUAGAAAGUGAGCAAAAAUGUUGCUUUGAGAAAGCCUUUGAUUUACUGGAGUAGGAAGAUUAUGCACACAUCUCUACUCUGUAUGUGGCGCUAAUUAAAGGCACGCAACAAUGAAGGAUGGAAACCCCAAACCCAACAAUGCUAAUCAAAGAUUAAAAUAAUCUGAGAGGAGCGGUGAUUACUUCAAGGGCAGCCAGUCAUUUCAUUUCUCAGGCACAAGGCAGCAGAUUUUAGGUUUUAACUAAGUUGAGAUGUUAACAAUGUUUGCAAGGACAGGGUCACAUUUUCUUUGCCCAUCUUUCUCCGUCUUUGUUGGUGCUGGACCCUCUGUUAAUCGUGAAAUAAAUAAUGAAAGCCUCAACAUUGGCCGUUGGUGAAUAAGCUCUGGCAUAAGUUGGGGGAAAAAAGUAUCAUAUUAACUGAUGUUCCCAAUCACUGAAAGACAAAACAAAUUAAAUAUGGCACUGAAAAUGUGUUUAAUACCAUGUAGUAAUAUUUAUUAAAUGUAUUUUUAAAAAUGUGUUUAACAUAUAUGUCACUUGAUAUCAAUACACCAAUAUGUUCUUGGCACGGCCUGCAGUCUGCUUUCCUUUUCCUUUUUUAU